CAUUGAAAUACCAGUUCUUGUACAAUCACCGAGGUUAAGCAACAUUAAGCCUGGUCAGUACCUAGAUGGGUGACCACUUGGGAAUACCAUGUGCUAUA